AACAAAAACAAAAAAAAAGCACUCAAGUUUGUCUUACCUAAAACAAACUAGUCAUAAAUAAUUUGAAAAUUUUAGAGGUGAUAAGUAGUGGAUGAGACAUCUCACAUCAGAAGUGAAUGAAGACUGGUUAAAAAUCUCAGAGUCAUCGUUGGCUUUUUUUUUUUUUACAGUACACACUGCAUGACAAGUAUGGAAUUGUCGCUAAAUUAGUGUUGAUGUAGAUAGACUGAGUUAAUAUUAUUUUGGCUCAUGCGAGGCUGCAGAUAAAGUAUCUGUUGACAGCUGUUAAUAUAAAUUCAUAAAUCAGAUAUUGCUUGGAUUUUAUUUGGUGAUAACAAAUCGCCGCAAGCCUGAAGUGGAAAAUAGGAUAUAUUUAUAUAUAUAACACUGGUACAUUCAUCUACCUAGAAUUGAUCUGUGAUUAUUACAAAGAAAUCACGAAAAGAAGUGAACAAGUAUCUGAGAGUGGAUUUGAUUGGAUUUGAACAGGUCACUGAAGGCGAUACUAUCGUUGUCAAAAGGUUUCCUAUUCGGCAUUAGAAACAGAAAAGCGACGGAGAUGAAUGCCAUUACCCGAAAAGCAAUACUGCUGAUAUUGAUAGGGAUUUCAGUGGGUCAAGUAACAGAACAAGAAUGCAGCAGCAACGAGGACGAGGUGAUCAUUAAUGGGGACACGGCUCUUACAUCGGAAAUGUUUUUAAUUGCAAACGUUACUACACGAG